rnacentral:rRNA from 1 species
UAGAUACAGAACCAAUACACCAUCUGUUAACAGCAGGUGGUGUAAAAAAGGUGAUUCAUAGUAACCGAACGGAUCGCAUUAUGGUCAUUUUAUAUGGCUGGCGAUAGAUCAUUCAAGUUUCUGACCUAUCAGCUUUCGACGGUAGUGUAUUGGACUACCGUGGCAGUGACGGGUAACGGGGAAUUAGGGUUCGAUUCCGGAGAGGGAGCCUGAGAAACGGCUACCACAUCUAAGGAAGGCAGCAGGCGCGCAAAUUACCCAAUCCUGACUCAGGGAGGUAGUGACAAGAAAUAACAACACUGGAAAUUUUAUUUCUAGUGAUUGGAAUGAUGGGAAUUUAAACCCCUUUCAGAGUAACAAUUGGAGGGCAAGUCUGGUGCCAGCAGCCGCGGUAAUUCCAGCUCCAAUAGCGUAUAUUAAAGUUGUUGCAGUUAAAAAGCUCGUAGUUGGAUGUCUGCUGGAAGCAAUCAGUCCGCCCUAUUUGUAGGGUGUGCACUUGAUGAAUUCUGGCAUCUAUGUCCCAAUAAUAUGAUGGUAUACCCUGUGUAUAUCCAUCUAUAUUGGGAUAAUACCGUUACUUUGAGAAAAUUAGAGUGUUUGAAGCAGGCUAAUUGCCUUGAAUACUGCAGCAUGGAAUAACAAUAUAGGAUUUCGGUUCUAUUUUGUUGGUUUCUAGGACUGAAAUAAUGAUUAAUAGGGACAGUUGGGGGCAUUCGUAUUU